GACGAACGCUGGCGACGUGCUUAACACAUGCAAGUCGAACGGAAAGGCGCUGCUUUUGUGGGGUGCUCGAUUGGCGAACGGGUGAGUAACACGUGAGUAACCUGCCCUUGACUUUGGGAUAACUUCAGGAAACUGGGGCUAAUACCGGAUAGGAGCUCCUGCUGCAUGGUGGGGGUUGGAAAAUUUCGGCGGUUGGGGAUGGACUCGCGGCUUAUCAGCUUGUUGGUGGGGUAGUGGCUUACCAAGGCUUUGACGGGUAGCCGGCCUGAGAGGGUGACCGGCCACAUGGGGACUGAGGUACGGAGCAGUAUGCAACGGUACGCAACGGUCGGGAAUCUUACGGAAUAGCGGCACGCCUGUUAUGACAACUCCGCGAGCGUGAUGCCCUCCUUUGAGUUAUGAACCACUUUCGCCUGUAAUGAAGCGUGAGUGACGGUAAUGGGUCAGGAAGCAACGGCUAACUACGUG
rnacentral:rRNA from 1 species